CUCCUUCUCUGCUCCAUCUGUCCCUCCCCCCAUCAUCUCUCCUCUUUCUCUCCUUCCUCCCUCUCUCUACCAAAGCCUGGGGGAGCCAGAGAGAUUAAAUGUAGCCUCUAUAAGCCAAAGCACAUCAUGUAGCAAUGUUUCUAUGGCCCCUUCACUCUCACACUCUCUCACUCUCUCUCCCUCGCUGUCUGUCUCUCCCUGUCUUUCUGAAGGGAUAGUGUGAAUGAUGUCGGCCCAUGUGAGGCAGAAAGAAAGGCAGACAGUGCAAGCAAUGGAAAAAGUGGAUUUUUUUUUGCCCUUUUUUUGCAUGCAUGCUAAAGGAGAACAGAGGAUUUGUAUUAUGGGUGGAAAACGGACAACAGCAAGGUGGAAAAAACAACGAAAGGAGGACUACUUUCUCUCUAACUCUCUCUCACCUCUCUCUCUUCCUCCUCACCCCUCUCUCUCUCAUCUGAUACAGAGGAAAAGUGGGCCUCUGGCUGUAAGCGAUUACAGCUGUGAGGCAAAUUAAUGGAUGAUACCCCCCACUCCCCCACCCCUCCUCCUCCUCCUCCUCCUUCUUCUUCUUCUUCUUUUUUGAAGUGUUUCUUUUCCUGCCGAUCAACACUGGAUGCACAAAGAAAAAAGAGCCAGAGGGGAAAGAAAGAGUGAAAGAAAGAUUGCGCGAAAGAGGCAGGCAGCGGGGCUAGAAGAACAACGAACAGGGGCAUCCUGGUCCAAAUGAGGGGAGGGGCACUUCUUCCCACUGCAGAGGGACUCACUACCCCCUUCCAGACGGCCAGUGAAACAAGAUGGCGUUGCAGCUCCACGUGGGCCCUCCCGCGCUGCCUCAUGCCCGCUACCUAUGGCACCAGAAAACCAUGGAGGUCAUUUUUGGAAUUGUUGCACACCUGGGGCCUAUUUACUCGCCACAUAGCUGAAAUUUCUGAGGCACUUCUCCAGUACUGUAGCUUGGCCGACUUUAAAAGAUUUAGGAUUUGGGGCAGAUCCAGUACUUUCAUUGUUUUUCUUGUUAGUUUUUUCACUCCGUCUGUGUAUCAGCUGCCAAACUGUAUGCUGUUUUGUCUGCAAUCUGGGCGGUAUUAAAUGCUCUGGUGGGGCGGACAAGCAAGUUCUCAGCAUGAUUUGUCCUUAUGUGUGUGCGUUUAUUUGUGUGCGUCUGUCCUGUCCGAGGUUGAGGCCAAUAUAAAGGAGCUUGGGGAUUGUGUGCAGCCACAUAACACUAUCAGAUUAUCCAGACUACACACUAACCUCAUUAAUCUGAGAGACUAAUGUCACCAACAAUGUGUCAACCAUCACACACACAGACACACUCCUUUAAAACUGUCCUCUUUGUCUGCAUCGAAUAGAAACACAGGUAUUAAUGACCUGAGGCCGAGGUCUCUUCCUCCCCCCACGGGCCUGUCCUGCUGCAGGUCAUGUUGGAUUUAAGGCGAGGCUGGAAAUCCCCUGAUGAAUCAACAUUUAACACUUUGCUGCCACGUCAACCAAUGUUGCAACCUUUUUUUUUUGUGUGUGUUGGGGGGGGUGGGGGGGGGGGGUAUGGUUGAGGGAAAACAGCUUAAGCACAUUGGCUGCCGUUAACGUUUUGGAUAAUUUUCUGCCUGAACAGCCUUGAUACCAGGAAGCUGUGCAGCUGUGAUCUGUUAUUUUCUCUCUGGGUGUAAAAGACUCAAUUUAGGAGUUUCAAAUUUGUCUCCAUUGCUUUUUUUUCAACUAAGUUGGCACAUUUUGAAGGGCCAUAUCAAUCUCAUCUAUCUGAUAAUGAUGUUUGUGUCACAGGAGCUGAAGACAGAAUGAUGGUUUUCACUGUCUGUAAUGCACAGGCUCUUUACCUUUUCUUUAUUUGAAGAGUUUUAUGUAACAAACACAAGGCUUUGUGAGAAACAGCAUUUUGACAAAAAUAGCAUAGUUGAUGUUUUUCCUUGUUUUCAAAAAUUUAAAAAAUUCUGACAAAAUCUGUGUUUAAGAAAAGAUGAAUCUGAUUUGUCCUGAAUAAGAAGUUGAGAUAUCACAGCAACUCACUGAUAAUGAUAAUACUGUCAUAAACUGUAAUACACAGCACUGCCAUGUAGAAAUACAAUUUACUAUUAUUAUUUUAUUAAUAUGUAUUAAUUAUUUACUACUUAUAAUUUUUUAUACAUUGAGUUUACAGAGUAACUUUUCAAUAGCAUAUAUCAAUUUGAAAUUUUACAAACAUAUUUUCAGUUUCAGUAGCUUUCAAUUAAGCAAACUUGAGACAAGUUGAUAUAUUAUCCUAAUAUUUAAUGUAUGAGAGGUUGAAUAAGUCAGUUAUGAUAGCUUCUACUAAACUGUGUAGGUGUUACAAGCUUCACAUGCAGGUGGUAGCAACUCAGUGCACUCUUUAUCCACUUGUGUAAUGGUACUGAAUGUGUUUUAUUUUGUGAUUUAUGUUAUGCACACUUUUCUCAUGUGGAAUCCUACUUGUUUAAUCUCCCUCAAUUUCUGCAUUUGGUCCAUUUGUAAAGUCUCAUUCACUAUUUGACGUUUUACUACGUUUUGUUGUAACAGAACGCUGUUAUGGCAAGUAAAAUAUGAUUUUCUGACGAUGUUAUAUUAAUCAUUCAGCUUUGUGCUUCUUCUGCCUCUGUCCAGUCGCUGUUGGAAACACUGCUACUCUACCGAUGUUAAAGUUUGUUUACUUAUUUUGGAGUUGUGAGUUAGAUGACAUUGCUCACUUUGGAGACACUGUGACAUUCAUGUUUUGCCGUUACAGUGAAAAUAAAUUGUGACGUUACAAACUUUUUCAAUAAAUACUUAAUAUUUGUCUGCCUAUGUCCUAUAUGAUAUGUGUGUUUUUGCUUUUACAGCUACUCCUAUGUGCUGACCUCAGAAUAUGUGACAUAAAGUACAUUAUGUGUGUUUUCAGUGACUGGAUCAACUAAAAAUAAAAUGUGAUAAGAUUUCUUUUUAGAAUUAGAUUUAUUUACCGUGGUUUACUGAAGCUGUGUUUGCUCAUGAGGUACGACCACGUUUAACAAUGACAAUAAUGCACUUACUUCUUUCUUGUCCUAAAUAAAGCGAGUGAUAUGGGAGCAGUUCAGUGAGUGCAGAGGUUCUGCAGAGGCCUGCUGCUCAGAUAGAGACAUCUUACAGUUGUAUCUAAAUAAAGCCUUGACGCUGUCAUUUCACAUCAUUGUCAAUUCUUUCAACUGUCAGACUUAUUAAUAGAAGCCCUGAAUGAGUGGUGGGAUUUUUUCUUCUGUGCAGUCAGACCAUAUGACAUGAUUUAUAUUUUAUCUUUUUAUACCUUUUAAAGUCUCGAUCUCUGUGACAACAACACUCAUUCUUUGGUUUUGAUGUGCUCAGCCAUAUAAUACAAUCCUCUUUGUCAACGGAAACAUGGCGCAGUAUAUGAACCUCAACACAACUACACAUUAGAGUACGGUUGUUUGUUAAACAGCUUGUAAAACCACAAUAAUACAUUAUUAAUUAGUGUUUGUCAUGGUAAUUAGAUGUACACAAAUAGAGUAAAUAUUUAAUUAGUAAUGCAAAUAUCCCUUUCAUUUUAAGUAUGUGUUUAUAGGAAUAGUAGUGUUGCAAUGAUUUAUCCAGUAGGUGGUGAUUCUUAAAUGAAUCAUCAGCUAUUUUGAUCUAAACCUUAGAUUGGCUGAUUGGUCUGCUUCUUAAAUGUGAAUAUUUUCUGGGGGUUUUUUGUCUGUCCUUCUUUAUUAUUAAACUGAGUAGUUCUGGGCUGUAGAUUAGACAAGACAUUUAAGGACAUCAUCUUGGCCCAUAAAAAUCUAUUUCUCCAAUUUGUGACAUUUUAUAAACCAGACAAUAAAUUGAGAAAGUAAUCAACAGUGAAAAUAAUUGUUAGCUGCUAGAGUGGACUGGUCAGAAAAAAAAUUCCUCUGCUUCUGUAACCAUGAGGCCAAAAAGACACAGUUUAGAGUUGAGUAAGUAUCAGUAUCAUGAAGUCAUAAGUGAAUAAUAACCAGAUGUCAAUUUUUUAUUACCUGUCUGCGUUGAAAAGCGAUGCUAAAACCAUUCCUGAGAGGCUUUUCAAUCCUUCUGAAACACAGUGACUUUUUGGCUAUAACUUAUUUGUCAGAUUUUCAGUCACUCCUGUUUGUCAGUCCACUUUUGUCACUUUUGCGUUGAUACUUUGCGUCCUCGUGUUCAGUGUCGACUCCUCUGUGUGCUUUCUUUGUUCUGAAACUGCUCUAAAACAGCCUCGUCUUCCUCUCUUCUGCAGCUCAUCAGACCCAGGUCAGGACAUGUCGAAGGAAUGGUCCAUGAAUAUGAGCCGGAUAUGACAACUUCUCAGAAGAAAGCGAGAAAUAAAUUGCAACUGCCCAUACACACACACACACACACACACACACACACACACACACACACACACACACACACACACACAGACUCUUCAGGUUGUACAGGAUACCUUGACCAGGAUGGUAACACUCCUAAAGUAAAAUGUGUUUUCUUUUAAAUAUUUUCCCUUACUUGCGCAUAAUAUGUGAUGCUAAUAAAUAUUUUAUUAAAAAAGUCUGCCUUUUCUUAUUUCUUCUUAUGGAUGAAGGUAAAACACUUACCACACAUACGUAGAUGCUACUCUGUAUUUUAUUGCUUCCAAUGCUUUUUGUGCCAGCAAAAAUAAUUAAUAUAUGCCAUUAGUAAAACAUGGAAUUAAGUGGUUUUAGGUAAUACUUGGCAUUGGUUAUGCUUUUAGCAACUUCUAACAACAAAACAUAUGUUAAAGUAA